GGGGGCAGUAGCUGAGCUUGAGGGUUGCAGAAGUGGGCUGGGACUGCUUGCCUGUGAGGUUUAGAUAGAAGAGAGAUUCUUAGAGACUCAUUUCCUGGGAGAAUGAGGCAAAUUUAUUACUGGCAGAGGGGUUGGGAGAGCGGCUGGGGAAGGAGGCGAGAGCUGUUUCCCCAGGGACAGAGCUCUAGGCUCAGAACCGCAUAGUAUGUGAGGACCAGGGCAGGAGUUAGAGAAAUUUGCACCUUUCUUUUCUCCCUGGUAAACCUAUGCUGUGGAGAUAGAAGGAAAUCAACUCAUCAGCGUUCCAGGCCAACACCCCAGACAUUCUUCCUAAUGGAGGGAGCCGGGACUGCAGUUCCUUUAUCCCUCCUCAGGCCCCUGGCUAACAACCUGAUGGGGAAGGACAGGAAAAGUUGAGGAAAGUGUCACUGAAAUGAGAAUUAAGAUUUCGUUCUUUACCUGCCUCUACCCCUCACCCCCUCUCAACUCUGUGUCCUGGGUUCCACCCCUUACCCCGUCUCCCCAUCCUAGGGCCUCCGGAGGGCACUUCCCUUUGCUUCAUCUGUGUAAGAAAAGAAGGGAGCAGAGCGGUUGGGAGUGGAAAGGGAGGGAGAAUAAGUGCACCCUGAAAGUGUCUGGGGGCAGCUGUGUGCUGAGAAAGUUGCCCCACACAGCUACUGAGCCAGCCCAUUUGCCACGCAUCACAGUUACCGGGGGCACGGAAGGGAAAUAUUGCAGGCAGAGGGGCUAAAAUGAUGAAGUGAGGGAGGAGAAGCACUGGGAGGAAGGGAAAUGAACGUAAGCACCUUCCCAUCCUCCUGUCACAGUGCCCAGGUUCAAUACAAAUGCUUCAAC
rnacentral:lncRNA from 1 species